AACGAACGCUGGCGGCAUGCCUAACACAUGCAAGUCGAACGAGACCUUCGGGUCUAGUGGCGCACGGGUGCGUAACGCGUGGGAACCUUCCCUUAGGUUCGGAAUAACUCCCCGAAAGGGGUGCUAAUACCGGAUAAUGUCUUCGGACCAAAGAUUUAUCGCCUUUGGAUGGGCCCGCGUUGGAUUAGCUAGUUGGUAGGGUAAAAGCCUACCAAGGCGACGAUCCAUAGCUGGUGUGAGAGGAUGAUCAGCCACACUGGGACUGAGACACGGCCCAGACUCCUACGGGAGGCAGCAGUGGGGAAUAUUGGACAAUGGGCGAAAGCCUGAUCCAGCAAUGCCGCGUGAGUGAUGAAGGCCUUAGGGUUGUAAAGCUCUUUUACCCGGGAUGAUAAUGACAGUACCGGGAGAAUAAGCACCGGCUAACUCCGUG
rnacentral:rRNA from 1 species